rnacentral:rRNA from 1 species
UACGGGGGGGGCAAGCGUUGUUCGGAAUUACUGGGCGUAAAGGGCUCGUAGGCGGCCAACUAAGUCGGAUGUGAAAUCCCCAGGCUUAACUUGGGAACUGCAUCCGAUACUGGAUGGCUUGAAUCCGGGAGAGGGAUGCAGAAUUCCAGGUGUAGCGGUGAAAUGCGUAGAUAUCUGGAGGAAUACCGGUGGCGAAGGCGGCAUCCUGGACCGAUAUUGACACUGAUGAGCGAAAGCCAGGGGAGCAAACGGG